AAAGUAAGAGAAAAAUCAAUAGUGAGAAAAUAGUCUUCUAAAUUUUUUUGUUCAUAAAGUUCAUAUUUUCUUUCAAAAAAAAAAAAAGAAGAAGAGUGUGUAGUGUAUAUUAGUCUUUUAUUCCUUCAUUUUUGGUAGCCGCUAGCUUUCAGGAGACUCCCGAAAGGGAAACCUCACUUCUUCCUUAAGACAUGUAAGUAGUCGUUACAUAGAUCUUUGUAUUUUUCUCCC
rnacentral:lncRNA from 1 species